GAUGAACGCUAGCUACAGGCCUAACACAUGCAAGUCGAGGGACCGGCGCACGGGUGAGUAACACGUAUCCAACCUGCCCUGUACUCGGUGAUAUCCUUUCGAAAGAAAGAUUAAUACCCGAUAUAAAGGCUGGGGAUGCGUUCCAUUAGGUUGUUGGUGAGGUACCGGCCAACCAAGCCUUCGAUGGAUAGGGGUUCUGAGAGGAAGGUACCCCACAAUGGAACUGAGACACGGUCCAAAAUCGUACGGGAGGCAGCAGUGAGGAAUAUUGGUCAAUGGACGUUGACGUGAACCAGCCAAGUAGAGGAAAGGAUGACGGGUUAUGGGUCGUAAACUUCUUGUAUAUAAGAAGAUGUAUUAUAUGAAUAAGGACCGGCUAACUCCGUGCCAGCAGCCGCGGUAAUUC
rnacentral:rRNA from 1 species